GACCUCCUGUAUACCAGGCGAGGUAGUUAACAUCUCGCCACCGUGGCGCCAUGUGUCAGCUACCCGUAAAAUGUUGCAGCGCCCGGCAUACCACGUCCAGUAUACCCCUCGCUACGGCUGUGGCAACGAGUCAGCUGCCCUCUCCGGGUUACCGCGAUCCAAACGAUAUUCAGCAAGCGCAGCAAAACCCUAUUCAGGCUCAUCCCCGCUUUGGUUGUAGAAAGACUGGAAAAUCAAGAACAGUCAAGUCACAAGAGGAGCGUUACAGAUGUUCACGAUGCUAAAGAUGAGAGCGAAGCUUCAGCUAUUGGGGAUAGGGGGCAGGGCGAAACCCUCCCCCCCCCCCAAAAAAAAAUUCACUUCAUCUCUCCGAUGCUGGAAUCCGUGAAAUUUGGCGAAUGAGUGUCGGUGUCGUGUCGCGUUCGAGCGGAUGGAGAAGAGCGGAGGUUGUGCAGGUACAAAGGCAAAGUGAUAAUAACAGCCGGUGGGGAUGAUUUCAGUGGAAAACUGGAACAGCUGGGCGCUGCAGCUGCAGCUGCCAGGCCUCGUGCGGGAUUAAUGCCACAGCAUCCGGACAACAGCCCCGGGGCCAACUGUUACCUCUCUAAACGCGUCCCGAAAUGCAUCGCAGGGAGGGUCAUUCACGCGACUAAAUGGUCGGUGAUAAAUUUCUCGUGUCGUUUAAAGAAACAUGCGGUUGAUAUGACGUUGUUGUUGUUUAUGUUGUUGUUGUUGUUGCUAUAAGAAAUGGAGUCCCCGUGGUUUGGGGCCUGGCUGCGUGAAAUGACACACGGUGUAAACUGACUAUGAUGAGUGAAGCGUGCUGCGUACGGUUUUUGGAUUCCAGCAGGAGUUGCUGUGCGUACGGUGGAGGGGAGGUGGCAGCCCUCGGCCAGUUUUCCCUGGAUCGUCUCAGAGUGCCCGUUACAAUAUUCACCUAUCAAUUUGCUAUCGUCAUUGGUUUACAAUUUUGCUAGUGUCAUCAUCAUCAUCCGCACCCCCAAAAAGCGCGGUUGACUACGUACCAUGCGAAAGAAGUCCAACAUACAGCACACGCAUCAUGAGCACCACCACCACCAGCAGCAGCAGCAGCAUCAAAGGCAGCGCGCUACGAUAAAUUCACUGCUGGAAGAAAGGCCUGGGAAGGUGUUACCAUCUCUCACGGUCCUACAAAUCUAACAUACCACCUAGCGCCUACGUACGAGCUGAUUUCGUCGCUCCAUCUCCGUGGUAGUCGCCCCGGAACGUCGGACGUGUUCCCUCCUUUGGCUUCGACUCCCUCGUUAAUUUCUCCCGCCGGCCAACCGUGCUGCUCAGCGACACACGGACGCUUACUUUGCAAUACGACGUCUCUAACCCACGUAGCUCCUCUUGCAACGAUGACGAUUUGUGUUGUUACGUGGUGUGUUUUUUUUUUUAAAGCGAGCACGCUCCUAAUGCGUCGCGGCUUCGCGGAACGCGCUGCAUCGCAUCUCGUCUCAACGAAUUUGAAAGGGGCACCCCCCCAUCCCCAGUGGCAGCUGCCCCUGUGUGGCACAAUGUGACUCAGCAGCUGCCUACAAACGGGCAUCAGUCUGCCAGGCGGGGGGGGGGGAGGGGGGAUUGCUACUGUGUGUAGUAGUCCCCAUUGUGUAAUGCACGUGUUGUUCUUAUUGUUAUUCUGUCGGUUGCUCAGUGUAGCUCCAUGCAGGCAUCUCUCUCUCUGUUUUUACAUGGCCGUGUUAGGUUCAAUCGCUAAGUGUAUGCAUGUUGACCUUCUUUCACACCGUACGUGACCAAACCGCGCUAAUCGGAGGUGCGUUCUUGAGCUGUGUAUAUAUAUAGAUAUGCAAACUACCACGAUCUCACCUAAAAUGUCGACAACUCACAAAAAAACGAAUCAGAACACACAAUUUUAAUUUAAAAAAAAUUCAACGGCAGACCUAAAAAUAGAUGCAAUGAAUGUGAACACCGCUUGCUUAACGAAGCACGAGGGACUGGGGAGGGGGGGGGGUGAUCCCCGCGCAGAGACUGCCCCGGGCACGCGCGGGCCCUCCAGGGGCUCUUCGGGGUCUGUCCGGGCGCCUUCCCGACGGCUCUCCGUGUCUCCUUCGUUCGAACGAGGACGCACCGAGGCGCGCGGCGAUCUUCCUCCUGUCCUGUUGGUCGCGGAGUCGCUCGACAGCUCAUGCCGAGGGAUCCGCUGGCAUCUUCCACUUGUCACCAUCCCGUUGGAAGGCACGCAAGCACGGAGGGACAAUUCAUCUUGCUGCCAAGGCCGGGGGAACGCACGGAGCCAGCGGGGGAAAAAAAAAACCCCGAACGGUGGCCGCUAAACGCCGUGGCCAAGCGCCCGGCUCUCCGCGGCUGAUGUCUUCAUCAAUGCAGGAGAAUGAGAGAUGGUGUUGUCCUUGAGAACCAAUAAGAGAGGGAAUAGGGCAGUGGUGAUGUGCGCAUUCACGACGAGCAUCUCUGCUAUCGCUGUGCAUCGAGCCCCGGGAAAGAUGCACGGGCGAUGGUGACAGCGGGCGGCACUUCGCGUCGACGUUGCGCGCGAGCGUUUGAGCGGCUCCCGAAGAAGCUCCCGGCGCGUGGAGCAAAACGUCGGACAUCGGGGCCGAACAGCGCGCGGAACGACCCGGAAACGCACUGGAGAUGAACACUUCGCAUCUUCCCGCGGGGGUCUGCCCCUUGCCUGCUUUGCCACGUCGCAGGCCGCGUGGUGGUCACGUGCAGGCGAUGGCCUCUCCACACCCCCCGUGGACUCGGGCCUUGCCAUCGCAGCGAUGCCGUCGAUGGAUCUCGUGACUUUCUGGGCUUCCCGUGCGCCAGAGCAUCUCAAUGCACUUUGAAACGUAAAACCGCAGCCCGAAGUCACGGGGCGUGUGCAGCGGUGGAGCAGCAGACGAUGAAAAACAAAGUCCGGUGUCCACGUCGCUCAGCGAAACUCUUUACUCAAAUCACAACAUCGUUCGUCUUUGCCGAUUGAGAAAUUAAAUUGAAUUAAUAUAAAAACCCUGCUGAGGAAAUUGUAACUUGCUGACCAGCCUCUACUAGACAUCUGUGAAAAAGGAAAAGAGCUUCAUAGCUCAUCGGAUUCCUCCAGUCUCAAACGUAUGGCUUUUGUGUGACCUGUCAAGCCACGUCUGACAAAGAGCACACCCCCCCCCCCCCCCCCCUUACUCGCUCCCCCACGCAAUGUGCCAGUCGUGGCUUCUUAUUUUCACCUUUUGGGUCACACUUCACGAAAACGGUUCGGGAGAAUGUUGGGGCCCCUUCUCCAAAAAUUGGCAGCCAACUCGAGCCGUCUGAAAACUUGCAAAUAGA